rnacentral:lncRNA from 1 species
GAAGAGGCGACUGCUGGGUGCCUCUAGUCAACCAUGUUGAUGACGUCCUUUCUAGAAAACACCCUGAUACCUUGUGCCUGUGCUUCCAAGGUGGCUGACGCUGUGCCUGUGCUUCCGAGGUGGCUGACGCUGUGCCUGUGCUUCCGAGGUGGCUGACUUCUAACUGAGUGCAGUGGAGACCCCGUGGUGCUUUACAGAACAGAUGGCAGUGCUGCCCAAGCUCAGAACACAGCUGGACGGAUCCCCAUUUUUAAAAUGUUGCUUUUAAAGUUCCUUGGUCUAUUUUAAGUCUUAGAAAAUAGAGCACUAAUUUGUGUCCACAGCUAGGGAAAAAGCACCCCAAAUACUCAUGUUAUGUCACUUUCAGUACCACAAUUCAAAUAGUGAAAGACGAUGCUUCCAUGUACCACAUAUAGGUCUCUACUAGUGAUUUUUCUCUCAUUUCCACCUAGCUUCACAUAUUUUUGUGGUAUAGCUAACUCAACACUGAUUCUAUACAAAAUAUAUUAUCUAAGAUAGUCUUUAAAAAUAUUUGAAUUCCACUGGGAUUCGUUUAAACCCCUACACAAAUAAUUACCUCUUACUAAAAACACUGAGUUUGGCAAGUGAAAUUUUGUAAUAAGGUGAAGAUUCAAUAAAAUCUUCUCUCAAACUAA